GAUGAACGCUGGCGGCGUGCCUAAUACAUGCAAGUCGAGCGAACAGACGAGGAGCUCUCUCCCUUAACGUUAGCGGCUGACGGGUGAGUAACACAUGGGUAACCUUCCUAUAUUACUGGGAUAAUUUCGGGAAACCGGAGCUACUACCAGAUAAUAUUACCAACUGCAUGGUUCAAUAGUGAAUGAUGGCUUUGCUGUCUAUUUUAGCUGGACCCGUGCUGUAUUAGCUAGGUGGUAAGGUAACGGCUUACCAAGGCAACGAUCCGUAGCCGACCUGAGAGGAUGAUCGGCCACACUGGAACUGAGACACGGUCCAGACUCCUACGGGAGGCAGCAGUAGGGAAUAUUCCGCAAUGGGCGAAAGCCUGACGGAGCAAUGCCGCGUGAGUGAUGAAGGUCUUCGGAUCGUAAAGCCCUGUUAUUAGGGAAGAACAAACGUGUGAGUAACUGUGGACGUCUUGACGGUACCUAAAGAGAAAGCAACGGCUAACUACGUG
rnacentral:rRNA from 1 species